rnacentral:rRNA from 1 species
AUUGAACGCUGGCGGCAGGACUAACACAUGCAAGUCGAGCGCGCGGAGAACGGGUGAGUAAUGUCUGGGAAACUGCCGGAUGGAGGGGGAUAACUGCUGGGAAGGGUGGCUAAUACCGCGUUCAAUAAGAUGAGCCCAGAUGGGGUUGGCUAGUAGGUGGUGUAACGGCUCACCUAGGCGACGAUCCCUAGCUGGUCUGAGAGGAUGACCAGCCACACUGGAAACGAGACACGGGCCAGACUCCUACGUGAGGCAUCAGUGGGGAAGAUUGCACAAUGGGCGCAAGCCUGAUGCAGCCAUGCCGCGUGUGUGAAGAGGGCCUUCUGGUUGUAAAGCACUUUCUGCGUGGAGGCGUUACCCGCAGAAGAAGCACCGGCUAACGCCGUGCCAGCAGCCGCGGUAAUUC